UACAGAGGUCCCAAGCGUUGUUCGGAUUCACUGGGCGUAAAGGGUGCGUAGGUGGUCAGGUAAGUCGGAUGUGAAAUCUCCGAGCUCAACUCGGAAACUGCAUUGGAAACUACCUGGCUCGAGGGUUGGAGGGGGGACUGGAAUGCUUGGUGUAGCAGUGAAAUGCGUAGAUAUCAAGCGGAACACCAGUGGCGAAGGCGGUCUGCUGGGCAGUUGCUGACACUGAGGCGCGACAGCGUGGGGAGCAAACAGG
rnacentral:rRNA from 1 species